rnacentral:rRNA from 1 species
CCUACGGGUGGCAGCAGUGGGGAAUAUUGCACAAUGGGGGAAACCCUGAUGCAGCGACGCCGCGUGAGUGAAGAAGGAAUUCGGUAUGUAAAGCUCUAUCAGCAGGGAAGAAAAUGGAGGUACCUGAGUAAGAAGCCCCGGCUAACUUCGGGCCAGCAGCCGCGGUAAUUAGGAGGGGGCAAGCGUUAUCCGGAUUUACUGGGUGGAAAGGGAGCGGAGACGGCAGUGCAAGUCUGGAGUGAAAGGCGGGGGCUCAACCCCCGGAUGGCGCUGGAAACUGUACGGCUGGAGUGCAGGAGAGGUAAGUGGAAUUCCUAGUGUAGCGGUGAAAUGCGUAGAUAUUAGGAGGAACACCAGUGGCGAAGGCGGCUUACUGGACUGUAACUGACGUUGAGGCUCGAAAGCGUGGGGAGCAAACAGGAUUAGAUACCCUAGUAGUC